rnacentral:snRNA from 1 species
AGGUGUGAGGUCAUUUUGUCUGCCACAACUCUCACCCCACUAAUUUCUGUGGUAGAGUAGACAGGUCUGAGAUAACUAAAAUGACUCCUUCCCCCCUCACUAUUUAAUGUGUAUUCCUUCCAAAGCUGCAUGCUUGAUCAAUAAACAGGACCUUCCCUGAUAGCAAAAGUCCACUUUUUUGGUCAAGGGUUUGUGUGUACCUGUACUCCCCUGCUAGAAGACCUAAUAGACUGUCAAGGUUCAGCUAUCUCACAGAGGUGCAAGNCAUGGCAUAUCUUAAGCUGAAUCCACAGUCUUA